rnacentral:rRNA from 1 species
AACGAACGCUGGCGGCAUGCCUAACACAUGCAAGUCGAACGAUCCCUUCGGGGAUAGUGGCGCACGGGUGCGUAACGCGUGGGAACCUGCCCUUAGGUUCGGAAUAACUCAGAGAAAUUUGAGCUAAUACCGGAUAAUGUCUUCGGACCAAAGAUUUAUCGCCUUUGGAUGGGCCCGCGUUGGAUUAGCUAGUUGGUGGGGUAAAGGCCUACCAAGGCGACGAUCCAUAGCUGGUCUGAGAGGAUGAUCAGCCACACUGGGACUGAGACACGGCCCAGACUCCUACGGGAGGCAGCAGUGGGGGAUAUUGGACAAUGGGCGAAAGCCUGAUCCAGCACUGCCGCGUGAGUGAUGAAGGCCUUAGGGUUGUAAAGCUCUUUUACCCGGGAUGAUCAUGACAGUACCGGGAGAAUAAGCCCCGGCUAACUCCGUG